rnacentral:rRNA from 1 species
UACGAAGGGGGCUAGCGUUUUUCGGAAUCACUGGGCGUAAAGCGCACGCAGGCGGAUCGAUAAGUCGGGGGUGAAAGCCCGGGGCUCAACCUCGGAAUUGCCUUCGAUACUGUCGGUCUCGAGUCCGGGAGAGGUGAGUGGAAUUCCUAGUGUAGAGGUGAAAUUAGUAGAUAUUAGGAAGAACACCAGUGGCGAAGGUGGCUCACUGGCCCGGUACUGACGCUCAGGUGCGAAAGCGUGGGGAGCAACCAGG